CUAAGAAUAUUCCGCAAUGGACGGAAGUCUGACGGAGCGACGCCGCGUGGAUGACGAAGGCCGAAAGGUUGUAAAGUUCUUUUGCUGGGGAAGAAUAACCGCAGGAGGGAAUGCCUGUGGGAUGACAAGAACCGGCGAAUAAGCCCCGGCCAACUACGUGCCAGCAGCCGCGGUAACACGUAGGGGGGCGAGCGUUGUUCGGAAUUACUGGGCGUAAAGGGCAUGUAGGCGGCUUGGAAAGCCUGGCGUGAAAGUCUGCAGCUUAACUGCAGGGGUGCGCUGGGAACUGCUGAGCUUGAGUGACGGAGAGGGAGCUGGAAUUCCUGGUGUAGGGGUGAAAUCUGUAGAUAUCAGGAAGAACACCGAUGGCGAAGGCAAGCUCCUGGCCGAUGACUGACGCUGAGGUGCGAAAGUGUGGGGAUCAAACAGGAUUAGAUACCCUGGUAGUCCACACAGUCAACGAUGUGCACUAGGUGCUGGGGCGGUAGCUUCGGUGCCGGAGCGAACGUGGUGAAGUGCACCGCCUGGGGAGUAUGCUCGCAAGGGUGAAACUUAAAUGAUUGACGGGGUCUAGC
rnacentral:rRNA from 1 species